rnacentral:rRNA from 1 species
GCCCUUCGGGGUGAGUACAGUGGCGAACGGGUGAGUAACACGUGGGCAACCUGCCCCUCGCAGGGGGACAACCGGAGGAAACUCCGGCUAAUACCCCGUAAGCUCUCGGAGCCGAGUGGCAUCGGGAGGAAAGGUAGCUUCGGCCAUCCGGCGAGGGAUGGGCCCGCGGUACAUUAGCUAGUUGGUGGGGUAACGGCCCACCAAGGCGACGAUGUAUAGCUGGUCUGAGAGGAUGAUCAGCCACACUGGGACUGAGACACGGCCCAGACUCCUACGGGAGGCAGCAGUCGGGAAUCUUGCGCAAUGGGCGAAAGCCUGACCCAGCAACGCCGUGUGGGUGAGGAAGGCCCUAGGGUCGUAAAGCCCUGUUGUU